rnacentral:rRNA from 1 species
CCUACGGGAGGCACCAGUGGGGAAUAUUGCACAAUGGGGGAAACCCUGAUGCAGCGACGCCGCGUGCGUGAAGAAGUAUCUCGGUACGUAAAGCUCUAUCAGCAGGAAAGAAAAUGACGGUACCUGACUCCGAAGCCCCUGCUAACUACGUGCCAGCAGCCGCGGUCAUACGUAGGGGGCAAGCGUUAUCCGGAUUUACUGGGUGUAAAGGGAGCGUAGACGGCGCUGCAAGUCCGGAGUGAAAGCCCAUGGCUUAACCUUGGUACUGCUCUGGAAACUGGAGGGCUUGAGUGCGGGAGGGGCGGGUGGAAUUCCUAGUGUAGCGGUGAAAUGCGUAGAUAUUAGGAGGAACACCGGCGGCGAAGGCGGCCUGCUGGACCGUAACUGACGUUGAGGCGCGAAAGCGUGGGGAGCAAACAGGAUUAGAUACCCGGGUAGUC